rnacentral:rRNA from 1 species
AGCGGAGGAAGGCAGCGCCCCACAGAAGCUUGCUUCGUGGCGGGGCUACCCUACUUCGGUAGGGUUUAGAGCCGUCGACCCUCUCGGAGAAGGUCGGUCCUGAACUCCACCCUUGAAUAAACUACCUUUGUUGCUUUGGCGGGCCGCCUCGCGCCAGCGGCUUCGGCUGUUGAGUGCCCGCCAGAGGACCACAACUCUUGUUUUUAGUGAUGUCUGAGUACUAUAUAAUAGUUAAAACUUUCAACAACGGAUCUCUUGGUUCUGGCAUCGAUGAAGAACGCAGCGAAAUGCGAUAAGUAAUGUGAAUUGCAGAAUUCAGUGAAUCAUCGAAUCUUUGAACAGCACAUUGCGCCCUCUGGUAUUCCGGGGGGCAUGCCUGUUCGAGCGUCAUUAUAACCACUCAAGCUCUCGCUUGGUAUUGGGGUUCGCGGUUUCGCGGCUCCUAAAAUCAGUGGCGGUGCCUGUCGGCUCUACGCGUAGUAAUACUCCUCGCGUCUGGGUCCGGUAGGUCUACUUGCCAGCAACCCCCAAUUUUUACAGGUUGACCUCGGAU